rnacentral:lncRNA from 1 species
GUGGAGCUGGAAAGGUGGAGGCGGAAGUGACUGAUCAAUUCAGGGGCGUGGGGUUCGUUUAGGUUUUGCCCUGUGUAUGACCUCGUUUGGAGCCAUGAAACCAGGUGGCUUUUCUACAAUAUAAAGAUGGAAAUGGGAUGAUGUUCAUUGCAAAUUAGGGAAGCUCUUCCACGAGUUCACGAAUGGAAAUAACAUCAAGAGUUUUUCAUCUUCUUAGUGUGCAAGGUUAUUUUAGGGCAAUGAUGGAAAGCACCAAGUGGAGUCUGGAGCUAGACUGAUCUGUGUUCAAUCCCGUCUUGGUUACUCAUUGAGGAGCCUCGACUUUCAUGUCUCUGUAAUGUCGCUGACAGUAUCUGCCUCACAGGGUUGCUGUAAGAAUCAAGCGAGAUAAAUAUCAAGCAGUGCAAUUCCUGGAUUUAUGAUGUCUGAGGAAUAGUCUUAGUGGAUUAUCCCAAACUUGACACAUUUUUUGCAAAAUGCUAUACAAAAAGAAGAUACAUGCGAUUAUGACAAGAUUCUCCACUUGGUGUGACCAGUCUCAUACAACCCAAGGCUGUGUGUCCAAAGGCAACUGCACUGAAUACUGGAAAGCAUUUAUUUGUUUGCUAAAUUGCUCUCUUUCCACCAGCGAUAUCAACUCUGAAAUACUUUUUAGAUCUUGACAAUAAUCAAAAGGUAGCCAGGUGCAUCGG